CGCGUAGGUGGUAGUGUAAGUCUGGGGUGGAAUGCCGGGGCUUAACCCUGGAAUUGCCUUGGAAACUGCAUUACUUGAGUCAGUGAGGGGAGGGUAGAAUUCCUGGUGUAGCGGUGAAAUGCGUAGAUAUCAGGAGGAAGGCCUGUGGCGAAGGCGGCCCUCUGGUGCUGGACCGACACUGAGGCGCGAAAGCGUGGGGAGCAAACAGGAUUAGAUACCCUGGUAGUCCACGCCCUAAACGGUGGGCACUAGGUGUAGGGCUCGUAAGGGUUCUGUGCCGAAGGGAACCAUUAAGUGCCCCGCCUGGGGAGUACGGCCGCAAGGUUGAG
rnacentral:rRNA from 1 species